UACGAAGGGGGCUAGCGUUGCUCGGAAUCACUGGGCGUAAAGCGCACGUAGGCGGCUUACUAAGUCAGGGGUGAAAUCCUGGAGCUCAACUCCAGAACUGCCUUUGAUACUGGUGAGCUUGAGUCCGGAAGAGGUGAGUGGAACUGCGAGUGUAGAGGUGAAAUUCGUAGAUAUUCGGAAGAACACCAGUGGCGAAGGCGGCUCACUGGCCCGGUACUGACGCUGAGGUGCGAAAGCGUGGGGAGCAAACAGG
rnacentral:rRNA from 1 species